CACCGACACCACACCAUGGAUCACACAGCGGAAGACACGAGCUAGGACCAGAGCUAGAACCUCUCCGCAGCCCCUCCCAGUCUUGGAGAUCUCGACCCAGAACCGCUUCUCCCCUCUUGGUUCCCGAGAUCCUGAACGGUGAUGAGCGCGUCAGAGCUGUUGUGUUGAAUGUGGGAGCGAACAACAUUAGGCUGAGGUUCUGAAGAAGGACUACAGGAGCCUGAUUGAGAUGUUUGUCGGAGCUGCUGUACUGCACGUGGGAGUGAAC